rnacentral:rRNA from 1 species
GGGGAAUAUUGCGCAAUGGGCGAAAGCCUGACGCAGCCAUACCGCGUGUGUGAAGAAGGCCUUCGGGUUGUAAAGCACUUUCAGUGGGGAGGAAAGGCUGGUGGCUAAUAUCCAUCGGCCGUGACGCUACCCACAAAAGAAGCACCGGCUAAUUCCGUGCCAGCAGCCGCGGUAAUACGGAAGGUGCGAGCGUUAAUCGGAAUUACUGGGCGUAAAGCGCACGUAGGUGGCUUGGUAAGUCGGAUGUGGAAGCCCCGGGCUCAACCUGGGAACUGCAUUCGAUACUGCUGAGCUAGAGUACGAAAGAGGGGGGUGGAAUUCCAGGUGUAGCGGUGAAAUGCGUAGAGAUCUGGAGGAACACCAGUGGCGAAGGCGGCCCCCUGGUUCGAUACUGACGCUGAGGUGCGAAAGCGUGGGGAGCAAAC